CCCUUAGAUGUUCUGGGCUGCACGCGCGCUACACUGAUGCAUGCAACGAGUUUUCGACCUUGCCUGAAAAGGUUGGGUAAUCUGUUUAACAUGUGUCGUGAUGGGGAUGGACCAUUGAAAUUAUUAAUCUUGAACGAGGAAUUCCUAGUAAACGCAGAUCAUCAAUCUGCAUUGAUUACGUCCCUGCCCUUUGUACACACCGCCCGUCGCACCUACCGAUUGGAUGGUCCGGUGAAGCCUCGGGAUUGUGGUUCUUGCCGCUUUAUUGUGGCGUGACCGCGAGAACUUGUCUAAACCUUAUCAUCUAGAGGAAGGUGAAGUCGUAACA
rnacentral:rRNA from 1 species